rnacentral:lncRNA from 1 species
GGUUUUUGAUAAGUAAGGUUGUUGAAAAUGCUUAAGGCAGAAUUUCUGCAUACAUGACAGUAGAAAGAAUCAAUUUCUGGGAGCAUCCCAGGUCAUAUACUUGAAUGAAACUAUUUUUGCAUGAAACUUUACUGUGCUUUGAGAAUCUCAUAAAAAAUUCAGAAUUUAUUGAUGAGUAUUUUGGGAGAAAUGAAUUUUUGAAGAUUGAUGGUUUCUGCAGAAAAUUCUGUUUCUUUACUGCAGAAGCACCAACUUCCAACUCACUUAACUUUCAAUUUUGGUAAGUAUUUGAGCUGAAACCAACGACAUUUUCAAGCUUCCUGUG